AGGAUGAACGCUGGCGGCGGUGCCUAACGACGAUGCAAGUCGAACGUCCUGUCUCGCAAGAGGCAGGGAGUGGCGGACGGGUGAGUACCACGUGGGUUAUCUACCGUGAGGUGAGGAAUACCGGCGAGAAAUCGCCGACAAGACCGCAUAGCCUCGGUGCAAGCCGAGGAAAGCUUUCUCGAGAGAGGGAGCGCCACACGAGGAGCCUGCGCCCGAUUAGCUAGCUGGUGGAGUAACGGUUCACCAGGGCGACGAUCGGUAGCUGGUCUGAGAGGACGAUCAGCCACACUGGGAUUGAGAACGGCCCAGACUCCUACGGGGGGCAGCAGUGAGGAAUUUUCGUCAAUGGGGGCAACCCUGAACGAGCAACGCCGCGUGCAGGAAGAAGGUUUUCGGAUCGUAAACUGCUUUUCUCGGGGAAGAGAACGGACGGUACCCGAGGAAUCAGCCCCGGCUAACUACGUGCCAGCAGCCGCGGUAA
rnacentral:rRNA from 1 species